rnacentral:piRNA from 1 species
AUACGAGGUGGAAAUGUAGGUCAAUUAA